ACGAAUGCUGGCGGGCGUGGAUAAGACAUGCAAGUCGAGCGCUAAUUUGAGGAUAGCAAUAUUUUCAAAUUGGAGCGGCGCAAGGGUGCGUAACACGUGGGAAUCUGCCUUGAAGUGUGGGAUAACUCGUCGAAAGACGAGCUAAUACCGCAUGUGAUUGCAAAAUCAAAGUUGGGGAUCGUAAGACCUGACGCUCAAGAUGAGCCCGCGGGCCUAUCAGCUAGUUGGUGAGGUAAUGGCUCACCAAGGCUAAGACGGGUAGCUGGUCUGAGAGGACGACCAGCCACACUGGAACUGAGACACGGUCCAGACACCUACGGGUGGCAGCAGUCGAGAAUUUUUCUCAAUGGGCGAAAGCCUGAAGGAGCGACGCCGCGUGGGGGAUGAAUGGCUUCGGCCCGUAAACCCCUGUCAUUUGCGAACAAAUUGUUUUACUUAACACGUAAGGCAUUGAUUGUAGCGGAAGAGGAAGGGACGGCUACCCUGUGCCAGCAGCCGCGGUAAUACAGAGGUCCCAAGCGUUGUUCGGAUUUACUGGGCGUAAAGGGUGCGUAGGCGGUCGGGUAAGUCUGACGUGAAAUCUCCGAGCCUAACUCGGAAACUGCGUGGAUACUAUUCGGCUUGAGGAAUGGAGGGGGAGACUGGAAUACUUGGUGUAGCAGUGAAAUGCGUAGAUAUCAAGUGGAACACCAGUGGCGAAGGCGAGUCUCUAGACAUUUCCUGACGCUGAGGCACGAAAGCCAGGGGAGCAAACGGGAUUAGAUACCCCGGUAGUCCUGGCCCUAAACGGUGCGCGUUUGCUGUGAGUGGAAUCGACCCCGCUCGUGGCGAAGUUAACACGUUAAACGCGCCGCCUGGGAAGUACGGCCGCAAGGUUAAAACUCAAAGAAAUUGACGGGGGCCUGCACAAGCGGUGGAGUAUGUGGCUUAAUUCGAUGCAACGCGAAGAAACCUUACCUGGCCUUGACAUGCAAGUAGUAGAAGGAUGAAAGUCUAACGAGGGGUAGCAAUACCAGCUUGCACAGGUGCUGCAUGGCUGUCGUCAGCUCGUGUCGUGAGAUGUUGGGUUAAGUCCCGCAACGAGCGCAACCCCUGUGUCCUGUUGCUAUCCCUAAUUGGAAGCACUCUGGACAGACUGCCUCGCUUCAACGAGGAGGAAGGUGGGGAUGACGUCAAGUCAGUAGGGCCCUUACGGCCAGGGCUGCACACGUACUACAAUGCCCGGUACAAAGAGAAGCAAUAGCGUAAGCUGGAGCAAAUCCCCUAAACCCGGGCCCAGUUCAGAUUGUCGUCUGCAACUCGACGCAUGAAGCUGGAAUCGCUAGUAAUGGCGCAUCAGCUACGGCGCCGUGAAUACGUUCCCGGGCCUUGUACACACCGCCCGCCACAUCACGAAAGUGGGCCGUACUAGAAGUCGGUAAGCUAACCGCAAGGAGGCAGCCGCCCCAAGGUACAGCUC
rnacentral:rRNA from 1 species